rnacentral:rRNA from 1 species
CAGUGCUGCAGCUAACGCAUUAAGCACUCCGCCUGGGGAGUACGACCGCAAGGUUGAAACUCAAAGGAAUUGACGGGGGCCCGCACAAGCGGUGGAGCAUGUGGUUUAAUUCGAAGCAACGCGAAGAACCUUACCAGGUCUUGACAUCCUUUGACCACUCUAGAGAUAGAGCUUCCCCUUCGGGGGCAAAGUGACAGGUGGUGCAUGGUUGUCGUCAGCUCGUGUCGUGAGAUGUUGGGUUAAGUCCCGCAACGAGCGCAACCCUUAUUGUUAGUUGCCAUCAUUNAGUUGGGCACUCUAGCAAGACUGCCGGUGACAAACCGGAGGAAGGUGGGGAUGACGUCAAAUCAUCAUGCCCCUUAUGACCUGGGCUACACACGUGCUACAAUGGGAAGUACAACGAGUUGCGAAGUCGCGAGGCUAAGCUAAUCUCUUAAAGCUUCUCUCAGUUCGGAUUGCAGGCUGCAACUCGCCUGCAU